ACGGGCUUCGGUCUGGUGGCGAGUGGCGAACGGGUGAGUAAAGUAUCGGAACGUACCUUUCAGUGGGGGAUAACGUAGCGAAAGUUACGCUAAUACCGCAUAUUCUGUGAGCAGGAAAGCAGGGGAUCGCAAGACCUUGCGCUGAUUGAGCGGCCGAUAUCAGAUUAGCUAGUUGGUGGGGUAAAGGCCUACCAAGGCGACGAUCUGUAGCGGGUCUGAGAGGAUGAUCCGCCACACUGGAACUGAGACACGGUCCAGACUCCUACGGGAGGCAGCAGUGGGGAAUUUUGGACAAUGGGGGCAACCCUGAUCCAGCCAUGCCGCGUGAGUGAAGAAGGCCUUCGGGUUGUAAAGCUCUUUCGGCCGGGAAGAAAUCGCAUGGGCUAAUACCCUGGUGUGGAUGACGGUACCGGAAUAAGAAGCACCGGCUAACUACGUGCCAGCAGCCGCGGUAAUACGUAGGGUGCGAGCGUUAAUCGGAAUUACUGGGCGUAAAGCGUGCGCAGGCGGUUUAGUAAGACAGGCGUGAAAUCCCCGGGCUCAACCUGGGAACUGCGCUUGUGACUGCUAAGCUAGAGUAC
rnacentral:rRNA from 1 species